rnacentral:snRNA from 1 species
GUUGUGCGAUAUGUUGCGAAGC